UACGAAGGGGGGCUAGCGUUGCUCGGAAUCACUGGGCGUAAAGCGCACGUAGGCGGAUCUUUAAGUCAGGGGUGAAAUCCCAAGGCUCAACCUUGGAACUGCCUUUGAUACUGGGGAUCUCGAGUCCGGAAGAGGUUGGUGGAACUGCGAGUGUAGAGGUGAAAUUCGUAGAUAUUCGCAAGAACACCAGUGGCGAAGGCGCCUGUCUGGCUGACAACUGACGCUGAGACUCGAAAGCAUGGGGAGCAAACAGG
rnacentral:rRNA from 1 species